GAUGAACGCUGGCGGCGUGCCUAAUACAUGCAAGUCGAACGCACAGCGAAAGGUGCUUGCACCUUUCAAGUGAGUGGCGAACGGGUAAGUAACACGUGGAUAACCUACCUCAAGGUUGGGGAUAACAUUUGGAAACAGAUGCUAAUACCGAAUAAAACUUAGUAUCGCAUGAUACCAGGUUAAAAAGGCGCUACGGCGUCACCUAGAGAUGGAUCCGCGGUGCAUUAGUUAGUUGGUGGGUAAAGGCUUACCGAAGACAAUGAUGCAUAGCCGAGUUGAGAGACUGAUCGGCCACAUUGGGACUGAGACACGG
rnacentral:rRNA from 1 species